AUGCAGCGUCCACGUCCUAGCCCCGCGCCUCAGCCCGGGGCACCUCAGUGGGGCAGCAUGGCGGCCCUGCGCUGCCCGUCCGCCAUUUUGGAAAGGACCGCGGCUCCACACUGUGUGGUGUCCUUCUCUUUCCCUAACACUCCUCUGAAACGAUCACUGUCGUCUUCUCUCCCAUGUUUCACAGCUUCGUUCCCCACUUCAAAUCCUGCGUUGUGCCCACAGAGCACUGUGCCAUGCUGCUGGUGCGACACCCACAGAGACCACAGCUACCGUUGCAGGAACCUACAGUUGUUAUAGGAUUUGUUGGUGAGAACAGACAAGGAAAUAUGGAGAACAGACAAGGAGAUAUGGAAUAACUGCUUCUGAUAUAUCCUCAAGCUACUUAAGCAAGAGAAACAAAUUAAAAUUAAUUCAUACAUCUGUAGGUACUAAAACAUGCUACUGCUUCAAUUCUAAUAUAUUCCUUUGCACUGCCUUUUUCUAUAUUUAUACGAAAAACAAACAAACAAAACAAACAAACAAAAAAAGUAUUGCCAAAAUGGUUUUCCUUAAAAAGUAACAAAACUACUGGUUUAUUUUUCUGAAAUAUCUACUUCUGGAGAAGCAAUCCAUUAACCUAACUUCAGUGCUCAUUGAAAUGCAGCCCUACCCUUUCUACUUUGAACAUAAAGCAUGUUCAUUACGGCGUAACUAGUUUUCAAAUCGCUUCCUCUUAUAAUAUACUUUGAGUGAAAUACACUAGUCUUGAUUUACAAAAACAUUUCAUUAUCUGAUUAUAGAUCUUGCUGCUUCAGAGGAAAAUCCAAGAGGUGUGCUCCUCCUCCACAGCUCCACCAUAGCGAGAGACCAGGCAACAUUUCAAGCCUCUCUAUUCCUGGUGCAAUCUGCUGAGAACAUGGGCUACACUGCCAUCUCUACAUUACAGAGAAGCUUUCUGCCUAGUCCAUUUAAGAAAUGAAAAUAGUGGGAUCCUGGAAGUUGAGUCCUUGCACUUAUGAAAAUCUGAACUCACAUAUGGACUGUGAAAUAGGUGCAAAACACCUGCACAGGUAUACUGCCCAGGGAAUUGUGGAGCCCAGGUCUGUAUCGAGUAGCACACAGGUAAUCAACAGUCCUUUAGUGAUCCUGAACAGAACAAACUUUCAAUUACACAAGCUAGACUGCACGUUUAGAUCACUGAAGCAGCGGUAGCAGAACAGAAGCCCCAGGAGACUUCGAAGCUUAGAGAUAACUCUUGAUGCUGUGGAUCUUGUUCUGCAUUUGUGUACUCAUGGGCAGUAGCUGAGGUCAAUCAGUGUCUCUCUGAACACCGUUCUGUCUCACGUACAUCAAGUCAAGAUACAAGAAGCCAAGGAAAUGCAGAAUGGUCUUUCCUAUUACUUCUCAGCUGGAUGAGCUGGCAGUCAGAGUCUUCCCAGAUCCUAUAUAGCUAUGACCCUGGGUACUGUAUCAAACUUCAGCCACGUAUAUUGCUCAGAUCAUUAUAGAGUCCAGCUCUCAGCAUCUUAGCUGUUAACACUAGCUAAACCCAUCAGUGCAAUGAAAAUACUCAGAACCAUACUUGUUCAUUUUAUAUUCCCUGACUCUAAAAGGGUGUUUGACUUUAAGAGAGUAAACUUCAAGUAAAGCAAAUCUCAUAGUUCGUAUAAUCAAAGCGGAUUUAAAAUAAAUUUCCAAACUAUCAGCUCUAUUUAAAACUU
ensembl:lncRNA